rnacentral:rRNA from 1 species
UCCGUAACGAGCGCAACCUUCGUCCUUAGUUACCAGCACGUUAUGGUGGGCACUCUAAGGAGACUGCCGGUGACAAACCGGAGGAGGGUGGGGAUGACGUCAAGUCAUCAUGGCCCUUACGGCCUGGGCUACACACGUGCUACAAUGGUCGGUACAAAGGGUUGCCAAGCCGCGAGGUGGAGCUAAUCCCAUAAAACCGAUCGUAGUCCGGAUCGCAGUCUGCAACUCGACUGCGUGAAGUCGGAAUCGCUAGUAAUCGUGAAUCAGAAUGUCACGGUGAAUACGUUCCCGGGCCUU